AAGGAUAUCAACCAGCCAUGGCAUAUCAGGUUGCAGUAAGACUAGGCAACCCCUCUUCUAUUAAGGCUAGACAAGGCAACGAAGUAAGGGGGAAGGAUCCCAAAGGCAGGCAAUGGAAUCAGAAAUAGCUCCUGCUUCCACUGUUAGGAGUCCCACAUAAAGACCAAGUUACAUAGUUGUAACAUAUAUGCAGAGGGCUUUGGUCAGUUCCAUGUAGACUCCUUGUUUGUUGGUUCCAUCUUUGUGACCCCAUAUAGCCAGAGGCUUGAGAAGGUGUUGUUGUGCUGUGUGUGGUUUGGAUGAAAAUUGAUGGCCCCCAUAGGCACAUAGGGAGUGGCACUAUUGGGAGGCGUGGCUGUGUUGGAGGAAUAGUGACACUGGGGAUAGGCUUUGAUGUCUCAGAUGCUCAAGCCAGGCCAUGCUUUGCACUCUCUUCCUGCUGUAUGCAGAUUCAGAUAUAGAACUCUCAGAUACCUCUCUAGUACCAUAUCUACCUGUGUGCUGCCAUGCUUCCUGCCAUUAUCACAAUAAACUAAACCUCUGAACUAUAAGCCAGUCCCCAGUUAAAUGUUUUCCUUUAUAAUUGUUGCUGUGGUCAUAUUUUCUCUUCACAGCAAUAGAAAUCCCACUAAUACACUGUGAAAUCCUAAAGGUUAUAUAUAAAUGAGCCAAGGUUGCUAGCUGGAAAAUAUGUGACCAUUUGAGAACUGGUCUCUUACCUUGACUCACAUGGAUAAGGGCAUUCUAGAUGAUUCAGCAUCCAUUAAAAUAGUGCAUAUGAUUGUCUAGAAACAAGUUAGAUCCGAACCAGAGAAGCCAAAAUAAGCAAGAAUGAGGAGAAAUGGUGAUGUUGAUUAAGUCACUACUGUUGAGCUUUAUUAUGCAGCAAGAGCUAAUUUACACAAUCUUACUGAUACCAUUGGUGAAGGUGGAGCCCACAGGGCCAUGUGUUUCCUUCUCAAGUUCUAUGCUGCAUUUCGAUGACUGA
rnacentral:lncRNA from 1 species